AUACGGAUGGUGCGAGCGUUGUUCGGAAUUACUGGGCGUAAAGGGCGCGUAGGCGGCGAUGUAAGUCAAAUGUGAAAGUCCUCGGCUUAACCGGGGAAGUGCAUCUGAAACUGCAUUGCUUGAGUAUGGGAGAGGAAAGUGGAAUUCCCGGUGUAGAGGUGAAAUUCGUAGAGAUCGGGAGGAAUACCGGUGGCGAAGGCGACUUUCUGGACCAAUACUGACGCUGAGGCGCGAAAGCGUGGGGAGCAAACCGGAUUAGAAACCCUAGUAGUCC
rnacentral:rRNA from 1 species